rnacentral:rRNA from 1 species
AUUGAACGCUGGCGGCAGGCCUAACACAUGCAAGUCGAGCGAGCGGCGGACGGGUUAGUAAUGUAUGGGGAUCUGCCCGAUAGAGGGGGAUAGCUACUGGAAACGGUGGCUAAUACCGCCCACUAUCGGAUGAGCCCAUAUGGGAUUUGCUAGUAGGUGGGGUAAAGGCACACCUAGGCGACGAGCUCUAGCUGGUCUGAGAGGAUGAUCAGCCACACUGGGACUGAGACACGGCCCAGACUCCUACGGGAGGCAGCAGUAGGGAAUAUUCGGCAAUGGACGAAAGUCUGACCCAGCAACGCCGCGUGUAUGAAGAAGGCCUUCGGGUUGUAAAGUACUUUCAGCGGGGAGGCGUUACCCGCAGAAGAAGCACCGGCUAACUCCGUGCCAGCCGCCGCGGUAAUUC